AGCACAGAAUAUGCUGCGUUGGAAGGGACCCACAGGAUCAUCGAGUCCAGCUCCUAGCCCUGCACAGGGCAGCCCCAAGAGUCACCCCGUGUGCCUGAGAGGACUGUCCAAACGUUUCUUGAACUCUGUCACGCUGGUGCUGUGACCGCUGCUCUGGGGAGCGGGGAACUUCCCUAUUCCUAGAGAGCAGUGGUGUGGUCCAUGUCAAGAUUGAUGAAGAGGAAGGCAGAAGAGUAUCAAGAAAAGCAGUAGGAACAGAUAACACAAAAGCAUGACACACCAGCCUUUCCUAAAAGAGGAAGGCAAUAAUAGUAUAUACCCUACCUUUCUCUUCCAUGAGGCAAGGGCAGAUGUUUAAAGUCACAUAAUGCAUUUAAGAUGUUUCAUUCUUUCAAGAAGUAAUUCACAGUAAUACAUCAGCACAUUCAUCCAUCCAAUUCCAUUUAAUUAACAUUUUGGAAAAUAAGUCCACCUACAUAUCCUUAACUGCAGAAAAAAAAUUUUAAAGAUAUGAGUUAAUUGACCAGACAAUAAACCUAUCUAUCCUUCC